rnacentral:rRNA from 1 species
GAUGAACGCUGGCGGCGUGCCUAAUACAUGCAAGUCGAGCGAACGGACGAGAAGCUUGCUUCUCUGAUGUUAGCGGCGGACGGGUGAGUAACACGUGGAUAACCUACCUAUAAGACUGGGAUAACUUCGGGAAACCGGAGCUAAUACCGGAUGAUAUUUUGAACCGCAUGGUUCAAAAGUGAAAGACGGUCUUGCUGUCACUUAUAGAUGGAUCCGCGCUGCAUUAGCUAGUUGGUAAGGUAACGGCUUACCAAGGCAACGAUGCAUAGCCGACCUGGGAGGGGGGUCGGCCACACGAGAACGUGAACCACGGCCCGGCGCCUGAGGGAAGGAACAGUAGGGAAUUCUACGGAAUAGGGGGAAAGCUGGCGGAAGAACCGCGGGUGAGAUGAGGAAGUUCUCCGGUCGUUAAAACCUGUUAUUAGGGAAGAACAUAUGUGUAAGUAACUGUGCACAUCUUGACGGUACCUAAUCAGAAAGCCACGGCUAACUACGUG